GACGAGGGGUCCUAGCGUUGUUCGGAAUCAUUGGGCGUAAAGCGUAUGCAGGUGGCUUUGUAAGUCGGGUGUGAAAGCCCAGGGCUCAACCCUGGAAGUGCAUUCGAUACUGCGAAGCUUGAGUACUGGAGGGGGUAGUAGAAUUCCUGGUGUAGUGGUGAAAUACGUAGAUAUCAGGAGGAAUACCGGUGGCGAAGGCGGCUACCUGGCCAUGUACUGACACUGAGAUACGAAAGCGUGGGGAUCAAACAGG
rnacentral:rRNA from 1 species